CUUCCAUCUGGAAGAAUCUGGAGACAGGUGCUGCAUGGCUGUCGUCAGCUCGUGUCGUGAGAUGUUGGGUUAAGUCCCGCAACGAGCGCAACCCUUGCCUUUAGUUGCCAGCAGUUCGGCUGGGCACUCUAAAGGGACUGCCGGUGUUAAACCGGAGGAAGGUGGGGAGUGACGUCAAGUCCUCAUGGCCUUUAUGACCAGGGCUACACACGUACUACAAUGGCCGAUACAAAGGGCAGCGACACUGCGAGGUGAAGCCAAUCCCGUAAAAUCGGUCUCAGUCCGGAUUGGAGUCUGCAACUCGACUCCAUGAAGUUGGAAUCGCUAGUAAUCGUGGAUCAGCAUGCCACGGUGAAUACGUUCCCGGGCCUU
rnacentral:rRNA from 1 species